GAAGAAGAAGAAGAAGAAGAAGAAGAAGAAGAAGAAGAAGAAGAAGAAGAAGAAGAAGAAGAAGAAGAAGAAGAAGGUCCUUUCAAGCCAAGUCUCCAAUGCCACAAUUGAAGUUAAGCAAUUGGCAUCAAGGAAAUAUGUUCAGGCUUAAAAUGGAGAAGACAACUGAAAAAUUGUAGAAACAGACCUACGGAGUCAAUUGACCGACCUUCAUUCAAUCGAAGCUCUGUAGGUGAAGGUCGUAGAUGAGAAGCCCAGACUUUGGAUAAAAUUAGGGAAGUCUAACCAAAUGUGGAACCACGAUUAGAAUCGACUCUCCGUUGAUCGAUCGACGAACCGUACUAAUGAACCGUAAUUUGUGAUUGUGAUGGUUCUAGUACCUGAUAUUUGAGGAAUAUAAGUAUGGAGUGAUGGAGAAGCAUAGACGGACCAUAGAUGGAAUGAAAAACCGUAAUGUUGGUCCAUAAUUUCAUUCAGAGAGGGUGUCAUCCAAACAGCAAAAAUAUUUUCUAUGUCUUGGCUGACGGAAGCAAAUAAUGGAUCGUCGAUCGACGACCCAUUAGUUGUCUCAUCAAUUGAAGACUUUUGCCUGAACAAAACUUUUGUUAUUUGAAUUCUUUUUAUUAAGACUUUGUUUUCUAUAAAUAGGGAAUAAAGACAUCAUUUUGGGGGUUGGCUAUUA